rnacentral:rRNA from 1 species
UACGGAGGGUGCGAGCGUUGUCCGGAAUCACUGGGCGUAAAGCGCGCGUAGGCGGCUUUGUAAGUUAGAGGUGAAAGCCCGGGGCUCAACUCCGGAACUGCCUUUAAGACUGCAUCGCUUGAAUCCGGGAGAGGUGAGUGGAAUUCCGAGUGUAGAGGUGAAAUUCGUAGAUAUUCGGAAGAACACCAGUGGCGAAGGCGGCUCACUGGACCGGCAUUGACGCUGAGGUGCGAAAGCGUGGGGAGCAAACAGG